AAAUUGAAGAGUUUGAUCAUGGCUCAGAUUGAACGCUGGCGGCAGGCCUAACACAUGCAAGUCGAACGGUAACAGGAAGCAGCUUGCUGCUUCGCUGACGAGUGGCGGACGGGUGAGUAAUGUCUGGGAAACUGCCUGAUGGAGGGGGAUAACUACUGGAAACGGUGGCUAAUACCGCAUAACGUCGCAAGACCAAAGAGGGGGAUCUUCGGGCCUCUUGCCAUCAGAUGUGCCCAGAUGGGAUUAGC
rnacentral:rRNA from 1 species